UAAACUUUGUGCAAAAUGGUCAUGACCAUCCACAUAACUCAUCCUCAUCCUACGGUAUACCCCGGUUGCCUCUUAGAGAUACUUCUGCUGCCUCUGUUGCUGGAAAGUGCAAAAGGGAGAAUACCAUUGAGAAAAACCUUAAGUCCACUGAUCCCCCUUAGAAGCAUAUUGCUCCUUCUGAAAAAGAUAAGGAAAAAAGAUAUUCUAGUUCAUGGAAAUCAAUGG
rnacentral:misc_RNA from 1 species